AUGCGUGAGAAAAUCCCCUCUCUUUAGUAGCAAUAUCCGAUAGUCGGAGACGUUCGGCCAUUUCUGUUCUGUUCGUUCUGGUGACGAUUUGGCGGUAUGGUUAACGGAAGAAUUCCAUCGGUCUUCUCCAAGACCUACGUCACUCCUAGAAGACCGUACGAGAAAGCUCGUCUCGAUCAGGAGUUACGCAUCAUCGGAGAAUACGGUCUCCGUAAUAAACGCGAAGUAUGGAGGGUGAAAUAUACUCUGGCCAAGAUCCGUAAGGCCGCUCGUGAGUUGCUCACGUUGGAAGAGAAAGACCCGAAACGUCUCUUCGAAGGAAAUGCCUUGCUGCGUCGGUUGGUAAGGAUUGGUGUAUUGAAUGAAGCUCACAUGAAGCUCGAUUAUGUGUUGGGUUUGAAGAUCGAGGACUUUCUGGAACGACGUCUACAGACUCAAGUAUUCAAACUAGGUCUAGCUAAAUCCAUUCAUCAUGCCCGCGUGCUUAUUCGCCAACGGCAUAUUCGGUAUCAGGACAGUGGCACCUGGUCGAUCGGACCUGAUUGAUUGCGUUCAGUAUCAAGAAUUUGCUUGUUAACUUAACGAAAAUUUUAUUCGCGCAGGCCACUUAAGUGUAGUUUAUCGACACUUAACGCCUGUUUGAACUAUCGAGAUUCUUCAUUUUCAUCAAAAAAAAAGGGGGAGAAGUUCUGAGUGCGCAAACAGGUGGUAAAUAUUCCGUCGUUUAUCGUGCGAUUAGACUCGCAGAAGCACAUCGACUUCUCGCUGAAAUCGCCCUUCGGCGGUGGCAGACCCGGCCGUGUCAAGAGGAAGAAUUUGAGGAAAGGAAGCGGUGGAGCCGCGCCUGAAGAGGAAGAAGAUUAAAA